AACUAUAACGGUCCUAAGGUAGCGAAAUUCCUUGUCAGGUAAGUUCUGACCCGCACGAAAGGUGUAACGAUUUGGGCGCUGUCUCGGCAGCAGACUCGGUGAAAUCUUAGUACCUGUGAAAAUGCAGGUUACCCGCAACUAGACGGAAAGACCCCAUGGAGCUUUACUGCAGCCUGAUAUUGAAUUCUGGUCAUACAUGUACAGGAUAGGUGGGAGACAAAGAGACGUGCACGCCAGUGUACGAGGAGUCGACGUUGGGAUACCACUCUUGUGUGACCGGGGUUCUAACCUGGUAUCGAGAACAGGUACGGGGAGAGUGUCAGGUGGGCAGUUUGACUGGGGCGGUCGCCUCCCAAAGAGUAACGGAGGCGCCCAAAGGUUCCCUCAGCGCGGCCGGAAAUCGCGCGAAGAGUGUAAAGGCAGAAGGGAGCUUGACUGAGAGCCAAACACGGCGAUCAGGUACGAAAGUAGGGCUUAGUGAUCCGGUGGCAUCCGAGUGGAAGGGCCAUCGCUCAACGGAUAAAAGCUACCCUGGGGAUAACAGGCUAAUCUCUCCCAAGAGUCCAUAUCGACGGGGAGGUUUGGCACCUCGAUGUCGGCUCAUCACAUCCUGGGGCUGAAGUCGGUCCCAAGGGUUGGGCUGUUCGCCCAUUAAAGUGGUACGUGAGCUGGGUUCAGAACGUCGUGAGACAGUUCGGUCCCUAUCCAUCGCGGGCGCAAGAGAUUUGAAGGGGGCUGCUCCUAGUACGAGAGGACCGGAGUGGACGAACCAAUGGUGUACCAAUUAUCCCGCCAGGGGUACAGUUGGGUAGCUACGUUCGGAAAGGAUAAACGCUGAAAGCAUCUAAGCGUGAAACCAGCCUUAAGAUGAGAUCUCUCAUAGAGUAAUCUAGUAAGACACCUUAAAGAAGAUGAGGUUGAUAGGUCGGGAGUGUAAGUACAGUAAUGUAUUCAGCGGACCGAUACUAAUAUGUCGAGGGCUUGACUUA
rnacentral:rRNA from 1 species